GUGCCAGCAGCCGCGGUAAUACGGAAGGUCCGGGCGUUAUCCGGAUUUAUUGGGUUUAAAGGGAGCGCAGGCCGGAGUCAAGCGUGACGUGAAAUGUAGCCGCUCAACGGCUGAACUGCGUCGCGAACUGGCUUUCUUGAGUGAGUACGACGUCAGCGGAAUUCGUGGUGUAGCGGUGAAAUGCUUAGAUAUCACGAAGAACCCCGAUUGCGAAGGCAGCUGACGAGUCCUUAACUGACGCUAAAGCUCGAAGGUGCGGGUAUCGAACAGGAUUAGAUACCCUGGUAGUCCGCACGGUAAACGAUGGAUGCCCGCUGUCGGCGACAGACUGUCGGCGGCCAAGCGAAAGCGUUAAGCAUCCCACCUGGGGAGUACGCCGGCAACGGUGAAACUCAAAGGAAUUGACGGGGGCCCGCACAAGCGGAGGAACAUGUGGUUUAAUUCGAUGAUACGCGAGGAACCUUACCCGGGCUUGAACUGCCGGCGAACGAAACAGAGAUGUUGAGGUCCUUCGGGACGCCGGUGGAGGUGCUGCAUGGUUGUCGUCAGCUCGUGCCGUGAGGUGUCGGCUUAAGUGCCAUAACGAGCGCAACCCCUUUCGCCAGUUGCCAUCAGGUGAUGCUGGGCACUCCGGCGACACUGCCACCGUAAGGUGCGAGGAAGGUGGGGAUGACGUCAAAUCAGCACGGCCCUUACGUCCGGGGCUACACACGUGUUACAAUGGUGGUACAGAGAGUCAGCGGCCGGCAACGUCCGCUCAAUCAUGAAAGCCAUCCUCAGUUCGGAUUGGGUCUGCAACCCGACCCCAUGAAGCUGGAUUCGCUAGUAAUCGCGCAUCAGCCAUGGCGCGGUGAAUACGUUCCCGGGCCUUGUACACACCGCCCGU
rnacentral:rRNA from 1 species